AAAUUUCAGAAUUUUUUACCCAGCCAAUUAGUACAGUUUAUUCAUUAAAACUUCCCCUGUUUCACUGCCCAACGGUUCUGACCCUUCCUCAAAAAAAUUCACUUAACUCUCUGUACAAAAUUUUAAAAAUGGUUUUGCUUGUUUCUAUUAAAAAUAGAGUCAAUAAGGAAUCCAGGAAUAUAAAUUUCACACCAUAAUUAUUUUU
rnacentral:lncRNA from 1 species